rnacentral:lncRNA from 1 species
AUGUCUCUCUCCAGGACAAUGUUAACCUCUUCCACGGUGGAGUGGGGCUAUGUGAUUUUGUGCUUAAUUUACCUAGCUGGUGGGCCUCCAGUAGAGGCUGAACCAGUCGAGCCAGCUGAUACCACAUCAAUUCUCCAAAGAAAAGAGCAAUGUGAUAGCUGGAUCUGUGGCAGCCACCUUGGCAUCAUGAGGAGAGCCAGCUCAAAAGCACAAGUUAACACCACAAUGAUGGCAGAGUAGGAGGAAGUGAGACUCUGGGGCCUCCACAACAUCAUUGAGCAACUACUGAUGAACCAAUUUUGGAACCACUCCAUCCUCAGACUUCUUACGUGAGAUAAUACAUUUCUAUAAUUGUUUAAGCCACUUUUGAUUGGGUCUUCAUUUUCUGCCACUGAAAGCAUCUUGACCCAGGAGGCAUGCCAUAAAUAUUUGUGAACUUAUGACUAAUGAAACCUGCCUUAAUUUAUGUCACAUCAGUGAACUAAAGCUCUAAGUGUUGAAGAGGAGAGGCAGAAAAUUCUGAUGGGAGAAAAUCCUGCUGUUCAUUAUUUAAGCAGUCAGGAAAACAAUGAUGUUUGUGUUGUUUUAUUUCUUUUUUUUUUUUCUUUUUUGUAGACGGAGUCUUGCUCUGUUGCCCAGGCUGGAGUGCAGUGGCGCAAUCUCGGCUCACUGCAAGCUCCGCCUCCCAUGUUCACGCCAUUCUCCUGCCUCAGCCUCCUGAGUAGCUGGGACUACAGGCGCUUGCCACCACGCCCGGCUAAUUUUUUGUAUUUUUAGUAGAGACGGGGUUUCACCGUGUAAGCCAGGAUGGUCUUGAUCUCCUGACCUCGUGAUCCACCCGCCUUGGCCUCCUGAAGUGCUGGGAUUACAGGCGUGAGCCACCACGCCCGGCCUGUUGUUUUAUUUCUUCACUUAGCUGGUAGGGUUGAUAAGUAAGGAGGUUCUAAACCUUGGGAAAAUCACAUUAAAAGAAAAAUUUUACUACAUUUUUUGGUCACUUUUUAGUUGAAUUAUAUAUUUAAAUUGGCCAGUGCUCAAAAUAUUGCCCUUGUGAAGGUGGCCC